UAAUUAUACUUUCUAGAUUUGGAGCCUCCUAGCAAACCCAUUACCCUUGUCCACAUGAACAAUUUCUCUGACUCAGAUAACAUUGACUUUGAUACAUCCAUGUAGCUACUGUCAUCCCAUAGGAAUGGAUUCGAAUGCUUUAAUAUAUUUUAAAAGGCUUUAUAUAUUUUUUCCUGAACAAUUUGAGGGUCGGUUACAUACAUCAUAUCCCUUUAUUCCUAAAUCCUUCAGUGCAUAUUUCCUGAAACUAGACAUAUUCUCUUAAUUAAUCAUGGUAUUAUCAAAGUCAGUAAAUUUAACUUUGAUGCAACGGUUUUAUGUAAUCUUUGGUUUGUAUUCCAGUUUUAUUAGUUGACCCAGUAGUGUCCUUUAUAGCAUUUUCCCCUUCAGUACAGAUCCAAUCAGGAUUACAUUUAGUUGUCACAUCUCUUUUUUAAUCUGGAACAUUUCAUAGGGAAGGUCUUUAUUUAAUAAAGAGUAUCUGUUCAAAGAUUGCUUUCUUCCUUGAGGAGGAAAUGUUUAAAAAUAAAUGAAAAGGGGAAGUGGAGUCACCCAAUGUUCUACAAAAAUUUUUUCCUUCCUGGAUUUUUCAUGUGUUUUGCCAGACUUUCAGUAUCUAGUUUGUUGGUUAUAACAUCAACUGGUAAUAUGUAUAGCCAUUUUCCCCUAAGCACUGAAUUUUGUCAAUUUAUAUUGAAUUUUUGUUGGUUUGGAUGUAUUUAUCUGUCUUAAUUUGAAAUUCCUUAGUUACCAGUGAUGACAGAAUUUUAAAAAAUACGCUACUUGCAUUUUGUUUUUUUGUGAGGUGUCUGCUCAUGGUUUUGGACUUUUUGUCUGUUUAAAAUUUUUAGGCCCUUUUCUCGCCAGGUAUUCUCGUGUGAGUGACAUUGUCUUUAAACCCUGUGUGGCAAUCCCUGAUGCACCUCAGUGAUGUCCAAGGAAGAUGGGGCAACCUGGAAGUCCAACUAUUUCCUUAAGUUCAUCCAACUUUUGGAUAAUUAUCCAAAAUGCUUCACUGGGGGAGCAGACAACAUGGGCUCCAAGCAUAUACGGCAGAUCCACAUAUCCCUUCAAGGGUGCUGUGGUGCUGAUGGGCAAGCACACCAUGAUGUGGAAGACCAUUGAGCACCUCUGGAAAACAACCCAGUUCUAGAGAAACUGUUGCCUCACCGGGGAAAUGUGGGCUUUUUGUUCACUAAGGAGGACCUCAUUGGGAUCAGGGAUAUGCUGCUGGCUGCUACCCGUGUGCCCCUGUGAAGUCAUUGUGCCAGCCCAGAAUACUGGUCUGGGGCCAGAGAAGACCUCCUUCCAGGCUUUAGGCAUCACCACUAACAUCUCCAGGGCACCAUUGAUAUCCUGAAUGAUGUCAGCUGAUUAAGACUGGAGACAAAGUGGGAGCCAGCAAAGCCACACUGCUGAACAUCCUUAACAUCUCCCCCUUCUCCUUUGGUCAUCAGCAGGUGUUUCACAAUGGCAGCAUCUACUGCCCUGAAGUGCAUGACAUUACAGAGGAAACUGCAUUCUCAUUUCCUGGAGGGUGUCCACAAGGUUGCCAGCAUUUGCAGAUUGGUUACCCAGUUGUUGCAUCAGUACCCCAUUCUAUUAUCAAUGGGUACAAAUGAGUCCUGGCUUUGUCUAUGGAGACUGAUCCAUCUGCUUUUGUGGCUGCUGCCCCUGUGGUGGCCGACACCACUGCUCCUCCUGCUGCUGCUGCAGCCCCUACCCAAGGUUGAAGGCAAGGAAGAGUUGGAGGAGUCUGACGAGGAUAUGGGAUUUGAUCUCUUUGUCUAAUCACCAAAAAGAACAAACUCAGCCAGCUUUAUUUGCAAAACAAGGAAAUAAAGGCUUCUCUUAAAAAAAAAAAA